AAUCAACGCUGGCGGCGUGCCUAACACAUGCAAGUCGAACGCGAAAGGGGCUUCGGCCCUGAGUAGAGUGGCGAACGGGUGAGUAACACGUGGGUGAUCUACCUUCGGGUGGGGGAUAACGUUCCGAAAGGAGCGCUAAUACCGCAUGACGUUCCGGGUUUGAAGACCUGGAAACCAAAGCCGGGGACCGCAAGGCCUGGCGCUCGAAGAGGAGCCCGCGCCUGAUUAGCUAGUUGGUAGGGUAACGGCCUACCAAGGCGACGAUCAGUAGCCGGCCUGAGAGGGCGGACGGCCACACUGGGACUGAGACACGGCCCAGACUCCUACGGGAGGCAGCAGUGGGGAAUUGUUCGCAAUGGGCGCAAGCCUGACGACGCAACGCCGCGUGGAGGAUGAAGGUCUUCGGAUUGUAAACUCCUGUUGACCGGGACGAAUGGCCCGCGAGUGAACAUCUCGAGGGAGUGACGGUACCGGUUGAGGAAGCCACGGCUAACUCUGUGCCAGCAGCCGCGGUAAUACG
rnacentral:rRNA from 1 species